CCUACGGGUGGCAGCAGUGGGGAAUAUUGGGCAAUGGGCGCAAGCCUGACCCAGCAACGCCGCGUGAAGGAAGAAGGCUUUCGGGUUGUAAACUUCUUUUGUCAGGGAAGAGUAGAAGACGGUACCUGACGAAUAAGCCACGGCUAACUACGUGCCAGCAGCCGCGGUAAUACGUAGGUGGCAAGCGUUGUCCGGAUUUACUGGGUGUAAAGGGCGUGUAGCCGGGUUGACAAGUCAGAUGUGAAAUCCUGCGGCUUAACCGCAGAACUGCAUUUGAAACUGUUGAUCUUGAGUACUGGAGAGGCAGAUGGAAUUCCUAGGGGAGAGGGGAAAUGCGUAGAUAUUAGGAGGGACACCAGGGGGGAAGGCGGUCUGGUGGACAGCAACUGACGGUGAGGCGCGAAAGCGUGGGGAGCAAACAGGAUUAGAUACCCGAGUAGUC
rnacentral:rRNA from 1 species